AUAUGGUUUGAGCAACCUGAGUCAACAAUCCAAUCAUUCUCAUAAUCAAUUUGAUUAAAUGUUAUUGUACAUGCUGUCUCUUCUUCAUCUGCAGCAAAAAACGCCUCAGCAUCCCACUCGUCUUCACCUUUGGAAGUUGCAACAUUGCUUUCCACACCCUUCUUCUUAGAUCAGCAGUCUUUCGCCAUAUGACCCUUUUUUUUGCAGUUGUAGCACUUCCCUU
rnacentral:lncRNA from 1 species